GAAGUCGAAGCAGUUGAUUGUGGAUGAAGAGAAGGUUGGUGAUGAUGAACACAGUGGUCAUGUACACAUUCAUACACAUGGAACACACGGCCAUGCUCAUGGCUCUGUCGUCCCUUCUGAAGAGCAAGAAGCUGGUGAUCCAGACCUUUUGAGGCAUCGGAUCAUAUCACAGGUAAGGAUAUCAAAUAUUUACUUUUUUUAACAUGUGCCCAGGAAAAAUUAGUACUAAGCAAAUUCAAUUAUGCAUUGUUCACAGGUUCUUGAGCUGGGAGUAAUCAUCCAUUCAAUAGUUAUUGGAAUUACCUUAGGAGCUUCGCAAAGUCCAGAAACAAUAAAGACUUUACUUGCAGCCUUGUCCUUCCACCAAUUUUUCGAGGGAUUGGGGCUUGGUGGAUGCAUUUCUCAGGUAUUACCAGCUAUUCCUCUCUACCAAUUACUCCUUGCAUGAUAUUACUAAAUUACCAACCUUUUGUGUAAACCUGAAACGCAAUACGAAGAAAUGAACAAAAUUUAGAUAGAAGUUCUCCUAAAGUGGCAUGGUUCAUACUUGCUUGACUAAUCUGUUCUGGUAAUAUGCAGGCAAGAUUCAGAUCUCUACAUACAAUACUUAUGGCAGUAUUUUUCUCCCUCACCACCCCAAUUGGGAUUGCUAUUGGCAUUGGAAUUUGUAGCGUUUACAGCGAAAAUACCCCCACUGCUCUGAUUGUUCAGGGGAUAUUCAACUCUGCUUCCGCUGGAAUUCUGAUUUACAUGGCACUUGUGGACCUACUAGCAGCAGAUUUUAUGGACCCAAAAAUGCAAAGCAACAUAAGGCUUCAAGUAGCAGCAAACAUAUCAUUGCUUCUUGGAGCUGGUUGUAUGUCGAUUUUGGCCAAAUGGGCUUGAAUCCACAGGUAGAAGUGCAUUAUUAGUUAAGAAAGGUUUGCAAUGAGGAAACUUAGACAUAAAUCGACUAACAAGUGGUGGUUCUGAUUAUGUACACAACUCCUUUGGAAUGAAAAGGAAACCGGAAUUGUAGUAGCAGCUCAAAUUAAUACAGGAACAAUUGUCAGAGUGUAACUGUAACCAUAUCUAUAGUUGAAAUCCAUUUUUUUUGUGAGAAUCAGUAAGGAGCGUGCAAAAUGCACUUUACAUUAUUGCUAUCAAGUUAACAUUACACCUUUUAGCACAGAGGCUUUAGAUGAAACAUUUGAAAUGAGCGUACUCCAACUACCUGAAAUCAAAUUAAGUUGUCUGUUGAAACAUACACAUAUAGACUAACACGUGGUGGUUCUAAUCAGUAUACAACUCCUUUAAAACGAAAAGAGGAAACCAGAUUUGUAUUAGCAUCUCUAACUACAUACAGGAACAGAGUUCAGAAUGUUCUGUAAUAGUAUUCGUAGUUGAAAUUCUUUUUUUUUUUUUUUUUUUUUUNNNNNNNNNNNNNNNNNNNNNNNNNNNNNNNNNNNNNNNNNNNNNNNNNNNNNNNNNNNNNNNNNNNNNNNNNNNNUCUUAAUACAGGAUCAUUCAAAUCUGGUUUUUUUUUUUUUUUUUUAAAUUUUUUUUUUUUUUUUUUUUUUUUUGUGCGCGAGUCAGUAACUAAUGUGCAGAAUGCACUUUUACAUUAUUUCUUGUAGUCAACAUCAUACCUUUUAGCAUUAUUUCUAUAGAAAAAACAAUAGAAAUGAGUUUACUCCAACAGGAAAUCAGUCAAGUUGCUUUACAUAUUCUCUGUCGCAACAAUAUUGCAAGAAGUCCUACAACAUAAACAAGAUGAUAGGAAAUAGAGAUUUUAAUCCUUCAAGUCAUCCAUGUUUGUUUCAAGGGACUGCAAUCCUUGCACUAUAAACUUAUUUCUCCUUUUAUUAUACUUUAACCUUAAGGUGUCCCGUGAAUUACAUCUCUGUCAAUCAUUUACUUCAUUUUGAAUGUGAUUAUAAUACCUAGGGCGAGGGUGGUAUUAAAUAAUACCCUUAGAAUACAAAGUGGUCAAAACUUAUUCAUGAUUAUCUUGCAAGGAAAAUAUAAAUUCAGGUACAUGAAGAUGAAACUGACCAUGUCAAAUUGAAACUGAAUGUUUCUUCAACACGGAAUUUGUUAGAAUCCUUAUUCCUGAUUCCAGGUAGCAAUAGACCACCAUCACCACUGGCACUGCAGGGAGUCCUAUAUCAUCCAAAUUGAAUAUAAAAGAUAUUAUAUACUCUUGAUAUGCAAUCCCAAAAGAAAAAAACACUUCUGAAAAAGCAUUGGGUCUCCAUAAAAGUAUCAGAAAGAUAUAUUUAUCCUUUCUUGAUGAAGCAAAUCAAGCAGCAUAUUUUUUCUUUAAAAUCGAGUGGUGUAAACUAUACCUGUUACAAUAGAGAAAUUCUAUAGAGAAAUUCCCAAAAUUAAACAUAUUGAGAGCCCUCACAGCCCAAGCACAACAACGACAGUAUAAAAAUCUUAAACAUAUGAUCUGAAACCACCCAGUGGGCCUAUAGUAAUGCAUAACCAAGAAAAGAAGAAGCUCCAAUCAAAUUGGCAUCAUGACAGAUAAAAGCAACAUGCAAUUAAUAAUCAAACAGGCAACUCCAACAUCUGUAGUGGAAAAGAGUACUACUAUUCUCUGAGGUUUAGGUUGUUAAAGUUCGAGGACUAGCAUGAUUACAGAACAUUUUGUUCUGUCAAUCAGUUCACAAAAGCAAAGAAUAAUAUCCUUGGUCGUCUAACACUGAAUUCAAUAUUAAAUAGCUCAGAAAAUAAAGCUCGAGCAAUGGAGGACCUUUACUACGGAAUGAUAUGCUUCUAAAGUCAGCUAUUUGUAAGGUGAAAAGUUCAGAAUUGAAGUUUUUUCAGUAAUCCAAAGGUCCCUCCAUUGUUUAGAGGCAAGAAUUCCAGAAUGGGGCAAUAGAAUUAUUUGCUUUAUGAUAGUAGUUGAGAACUAAAUCUCGCAUAUAAUAUAGAAGUCGUAUACGUCACAGUUAUUUAUUGGUAAGCAAAUGUAUUUAAAGUAUUUAGGACAUACUUUCCUGUUAUUCCAAUAUGUUCAAAGGAAUAUAUAAAUUAUCUAUUAGUGUAGUCAAAUUUGCUCUUCACGUUCUGGUGAUACUAAACCUAUACCUACGUAACUAAAUAACAGAUUGUCAACAUUAAGGUCAUGCAAGAACUAUAAUGUUUGUUUCACCAUAGUCUUAGCUAGGAAGUCUAUACAUGCAAGUACUAGAGAGAUUUUAGCUUGAGCUUUUGAAAUAAAUUAGGCAUCUUUAUAAAGAAUGUUAGUUACUUCAUAAAAUGAUCUUGGUUGAGACAUUGUAAGCUUCAAACUACUAUCUGUUAAACACUUGAUGAACAUAUAAUGUACUUGCAGAAUUGCUGUCAAGAACAUUAUUUUUCUUUCUCUAAUGGUACUAAUAGUCUAAUAUAGAUAUGUACAGAUAUCAUCAUAUGAAGUGAAUCAUGAUGUGGAAGCCCAAAUUUAAGCUGAAAUCUGUACAUAAAACCGGUGAAGGCCUGAAGGGUAUAUACUUAAUUCACUUUGUGUUAGAUUUACUUCGGAGGGUGGGCUUACAUAUAUACGCUAAACUCUAAUGGAAAGUGCAACAUGGAAUGGAAUGAGGGAGAAAUAGCCCUUAAACCCUUUCAUCAUAAAUAACCGAUCCCACCCCAGAAGGAUCCUCCCAACCGAAAUCAUUCAUAUUUUUGCUGAUAUUAUUAUAAUUUAUUUCUAUAAUUUGGUGAAUCAAAGAGCAGCAACAAAAACAGAAAUAGAGCAUGUUAGAAUACAAAACACAAGCGGCACAACCAUCUAAACAACAAAUAUGAUUUAAUUUUCCACUCAAGCAAUCAAAUGAAGCCCAAAAAUCUGCAGCUAUUGUAUUCCUAAUUCUAUCCGUUAAGAGUGCAACCAGGCCCGCCCAGAGGGAGGGCAACCAGGGCGACCGCCCGGGGCCCAAAAAGUUAAGGGGCCCAAAAUUUGUAUAAUUUAUGUAUUGUUAUUAGUAUAUAUAAGCCUAUUCUAUCUUAAGUGACUACGUCCAUAACUAAACUAAUGGCUAUCAUUCAUGCACUAAGAGAUAAAUGUCAUCAAACAUUUGUUUAAUCUUCUUUUUUUACAUCCGGUACACUUUAUUGUUUUAUAGUUAUUUUCUUACGGAAGUUGACUAAAAUUUGAGUUUGCAUUGCUACAAGGUCAUAUUUUAUCAAAUUUAGUAAAGUAAAAAAAAUUAGGGCCUAUUUUCUUCUUUCGCCCCAGGGCCCUCAAAAGGUAUGGAACGGCCCUGAGUGCAACCUGUAUAUAUAUGAAUUAUAUUAUCUUAUCGAGAUUUGGAAUAGAAUGAAUAUCUUAAGUAUUUAUCAAGCAUCACAUUUGAUAAGCAUAUACAACAUGUAAUUGAUGAAACCAAUUCAACAAAUACAUACACACAUGUAUAUAUAGACAUAACAAAAACGAAUUGCAAAAUAAUCACAUAUCAGAAAACACAAAAUGAGCAAAUCAUCGAGAUAUCAGAUAUGUUUGACAAUUGGGGGAUUGAAUAAAUAAUGAAAAACAGGACAAUUAAAAGACAAAUACGGUGAAAACAAAUUGAAAUAAAAAGUGAAUUAGAUCGAAAAUACGUACCUGAUAAACUGGGUGAGGUUGUUGAGAGUGAGAUUGUAAAUGAUGAUCCAGAAUUUUAACAAAACAAUGAAUCGGAAAUUAUAGUCGGAGAUGGAGAAGAUCCGUCGGGAAGAUACCAUUGGAAAAAUAGCCGUUGGAGGCGCAGUGUGAAAGCUCGCUGGCAGCAAAGCAGUAAAAGACCAGAGACCAGAGUACCGUUACUGCAAUGAUACAAGUCAUUAUAAUUUUAUCUGGCAAUUACUUUUUUUUUUUGAAAAAAAAGGAGAUAAUUCAAUAAAUAAUGGCCAUACGGCAUCUACAAGAAUGAUCGAGUCGAACAAACAUAGAAAAAAUUAACAUGCCUGUCUUCAUACCCAAGAUGAGACAAAUAAGCGAUGUUGAAAUUGACGAUGGUACAUGUAUAGAUCCUUGCUCUGUGUUCACCAUCUUUUCCAAAAACUCCGUUUGAGCUAUCGACCACAAAUGCAAUUCCCGAAAGGCUUUAUCUAUGAAUCCAAACCACUCUCACAAAAGAAGGAGAGAAAAAUCACACACUCUCACCAGGGAGAGAAAUCAAAUUAUAAUCAAAACAAACUAAAACAAUUAGAUCUGCACCACGAUGCUUAGGAGAUAAUCGAUCCACUCACAAAUCCAAAAAGGCCUCUGGAUGCGAAUAAGAACGAAAAUCGAAAGUUUCGGUGAUAUAGAUCUAAGAAAACUUUCCCCGAAGAUGGAGAUUUAUUAAGAAACUCAAUGAAAAAGCAAGAACAAUAAAAAACUAGCAAUCAAACGAAAAGAUUUGGGGCUU
rnacentral:lncRNA from 1 species